CAAGAGCUCAAAUUUGAAAUCCGGCCCCCCCCCUCCCCCGCGGGGCCCGAGUUGUAAUUUGGAGAAGAGGCUUCGGGCGCGCCCCCCGUCUAAGUUCCCUGGAACGGGACGUCGGAGAGGGUGAGAAUCCCGUAUGUGACGGGGCGGCGUCGCCCGUGUGAAGCUCUUUCGACGAGUCGAGUUGUUUGGGAAUGCAGCUCAAAACGGGUGGUAAAUUUCAUCUAAAGCUAAAUACGGGCCAGAGACCGAUAGCGCACAAGUAGAGUGAUCGAAAGAUGAAAAGCACUUUGGAAAGAGAGUUAAACAGUACGUGAAAUUGUUGAAAGGGAAGCGCUGGCGACCAGACGUGCACGUCGGCGAUCAUCCGGGACUCGCCCCCGGUGCACUCGGCGGCGCGCAGGCCCGCAUCGGUUUGGGGGGCGGGACAAAGGCCCCUGGAAUGUAGCUCCCCCGGGAGUGUUAUAGCCAGGGGCGGCAUGCCGCCCCCCCAGACCGAGGACCGCGCUCCGGCUAGGAUGCGGGCGUAAUGGUCGUCAGCGACCCGUCUUGAAACACGGACCAAGGAGUCUAACAUCUAUGCGAGUGUUUGGGUGGCAAACCCACACGCGGAAUGAAAGUGAACGGAGGUGAGAGCCCGCACGGGCGCAUCAUCGACCGGUCCUGAUGUCUUCGGAUGGAUCUGAGUAAGAGCAUAGCUGUUGGGACCCGAAAGAUGGUGAACUAUGCCUGAAUAGGGUGAAGCCAGAGGAAACUCUGGUGGAGGCUCGCAGCGGUUCUGACGUGCAAAUCGAUCGUCAAAUUUGGGUAUAGGGGCGAAAGACUA
rnacentral:rRNA from 1 species